UAGUCGCCAUUUUGUCUCCACCUGUUGCUAUUAACCAUGACAAAGGAGCUAAGUAGAAUUCGAAGAAGCGUGUGCUUAUUGAAUUUCCCAAUAUUAAAAUGGUUGGAUAUAAGUUUUACUUCAAGUAAAAAUAAAGAUUCUCACCGUCCUGCACUGGAACAGGAGGCAGCACGUAGUGACCGAUGCUGACUGACUUUAUACUCCGUCGCUUCUCGCAUGCACUCAGGAAUAAGCUGUGGAAAACGGUCACCUUGUCCCACAGCGGGAGCCUAUUAAAGCUGAUAUUGGCGUUGCCAGGAUGCAUGUGAUCCAAGCGAUGUUCUUGAGACGAGCGUUAUGGGAGGGACGGAUUGGAGCGGAGUUCCUCCACAGUGUACGCACGGCGACGGGGUCAAAGCGGUGAUAACCGUGUUGCCAUGACAACGAUCUGACCUAAGAGUCAUCAAGACUGGAGUUCAGAGUUCCUGCACGCAUCCGAUCCGUGGGGCGGGAACAUCCGACAUCCGAUAUCAACAAGCCUCCUCAUUCAUCUUUAACGACCUUGAGUGAAUCCAACCGGGACGUUCAAGUAGUGGCGUGGAUGCUCUUCUUACCUUGUUGACCUGAGAAGGCUCUAACCCAGGGGUCCUCAAACUCAAUUUACCUGGGGGCCACUGGAGCUAGGGUCUGGGUGAGACUGGGCCCAUCAGGUUUUCCAAAAAA